GCCGGUGUGGUGGAAUUGGUAGACACGUUGGAUUCAAAAUCCAAUGGGGUCAAACCCGUGCCGGUUCGAGUCCGGCCACCGGUACCA
rnacentral:tRNA from 1 species